AUGAGAUGGUGAGGCUUCCUUGAAUCCAUCAGGAAGGACCUCAGCAACAACUAUCCAAAUCAUACACCCAGCAGCAAAGCCAGUAGCAAAUGGCAGAAAUUUGUGAAAUGCAUCAGCACACAUAUAUGAUGGUACUGCAACAAUUGGCUGGGGUAAGGAAGUUAAUAUACUCCAUAACAUGGCCUUCUGUGGAGAAACUCCUCUUGAUGCAAGAACCAUGCUCACAGCUAAACCCUCUGGUAUGUUGUGUACUGCAAUAGCCAGAGUUACCAAGAUACCCUGAGAAAGACCUUUCGAGCCAGCAAAGGAUACUCCAACACCAGCACCCUCCCCAAAUGAGUGAAGUGUCAUAAUUCCAACAACAAGGAUGACUUUCGUUGCAUCUGCUCCCUUAAUGUCCAGCAUACUUACUUCACCAUAUUGUUCAAGAAACUUUUUACAAAGCAAUAUGAAGAUACCACCGGCCAAAAUACCAGACACAACCCAUCCACCACUUCCAUGUUCCUGUCCUUCCUGAAUAAGGUCAAAGCUCGCCGCCAACAUCACUCCAGCUGCCAUUCCAUUGCAUACUCCUGACCAUUGAGGAUCCAGCUCCACAAAGAAAAAUGGUACUGCACCCAAACCACUAGCGGCAGCCAUUGCCAAAGUGAAUAAUGCUACUGUUGAAACAGACACUCUGGUGUUAUCACCUGUCCAUUCACCUUUUCCAUCCAUACUGAUAGAAUCGAUACCAUAUUCUUUACCAGAGCCAUCAAUUAUAUUGUUUCGGACAUUCUUUAGAGGAGCAGUUAUUACCCUUUGUACACCCACUUCUUCAGAUACAGCUGUGACAUAAGAAAUCAAAGCUGAUACAAACAGAAAGAAUAAAAGAACUUGCACAAAUCUCAACCCCAUAUUCUUCAUGAUUGG
rnacentral:misc_RNA from 1 species